UACGGAGGGUGCAAGCGUUAUCCGGAUUCACUGGGCUUAAAGGGUGCGUAGGUGGUUUGGUAAGUCAGUGGUGAAAUCUCCGGGCUUAACCCGGAAACUGCCAUUGAUACUAUCAGUCUUGAAUACCGUGGAGGUCAGUAGAAUAUGUCAUGUAGCGGUGAAAUGCUUAGAUAUGACAUAGAAUACCAAUUGCGAAGGCAGCUGGCUACACGAAUAUUGACACUCAGGCACGAAAGCGUGGGGAUCAAACAGG
rnacentral:rRNA from 1 species